ACAUAAAUGUUGAUACAUAUAUGUAUAUACAUGUGGCAAUCGACAGAAGGGUAGUCAUUAGCGAUUAACACAAUUAUUCGUUGCGAAAAGGAAAACUUAUUUCAACCGUUCUAUAAUACAUACUUCACUCUACAUUAUGUUGAAAGAGGAGAUUUUGAUAC
rnacentral:misc_RNA from 1 species